AGCAUGACUGCUGGGCAGCUGAGCACUCUCCCAUGGCCCUCCCCAGAGACAUACAGACUCCGUCUUGUUCUCGGAAUGGCCAGAGCUGCAGGAAAAGGCAUGGGCUGUAGGAGAGCCAGAGGCAGGACAGACAUUGAGCCAAGGCACCCUGCUAACAUCAUGGCCAGUGAAGAAGCCCCACGUGUUGACUGCGUGCCUCCUGCAGUUCCACUGCAGAAGAAGGGUUUGGGCUCCACUCAGAAGCUGAGUCAGGUCCUUUGCAUUCUAUUCUCGUCUGCGUCUGUUUCUGGAACCUGUUUGUGCCAGGCAUCCUGCUGCGACACAUUUUAGUAUCUCCAGCCCUAAGAACAUCCCCGGGAGUAGACAAUGCUCUCUCCGUUUUGUGACUGACACUCAAGGCUUAGCCGGCGAGAAACCAGCAACCCAGAGGUGGUCUGGCAGCCUCUUCUGGAUAUGGCCUGAAAGGACAGAGCAGGCUACAGCAGCAAGGAGGCUUGUGAGG